rnacentral:rRNA from 1 species
GACGAACGCUGGCGGCGCGCCUAACACAUGCAAGUCGAACGAGCGAGAGAGAGCUUGCUUUCUCGAGCGAGUGGCGAACGGGUGAGUAACGCGUGAGUAACCUGCCUUUCAGAGGGGGAUAACGUUUGGAAACGAACGCUAAUACCGCAUAAGCUGGUAGGCCGCAUGGUCCAGCCAGAAAAGGAGCAAUCCGCUGAUAGAUGAGCUUGCGUCUGAUUAGUUAGUUGGUGAGGUAACGGCCCACCAAGACGAUGAUCAGUAGCCGGACUGAGAGGUUGAACGGCCACAUUGGGACUGAGAUACGGCCCAG